UUUCCCUACGGGGGGCAGCAGUGAGGAAUAUUGGUCAAUGGGCGGAAGCCUGAACCAGCCAAGUCGCGUGAGGGAAGAAGGCCCUGCGGGUCGCAGACCUCUUUGGACGGGGAGCAAGGCCGCCGACGUGUCGGCGGAAGGAGAGUACCCGUAGAACAAGCAUCGGCUAACUACGUGCCAGCAGCCGCGGUAAUACGUAGGGGGCAAGCGUUAUCCGGAUUUACUGGGUGUAAAGGGAGCGUAGGCGGUGCAGCAAGUCAGAAGUGAAAGCCCGGGGCUCAACUCCGGGACUGCUUUUGAAACUG
rnacentral:rRNA from 1 species